CACAUGCAAGUCGCACGGUCAGCAAUGGCAGUGGCGGACGGGUGAGUAACACGUAGGAAUCUAUCCCAGGGUGGGGGACAACAGCGGGAAACUGCUGCUAAUACCGCAUGAUACCUGAGGGUCAAAGGCGCAAGUCGCCUUGGGAGGAGCCUGCGUCUGAUUAGCUUGUUGGUGGGGUAAAGGCCUACCAAGGCGACGAUCAGUAGCUGGUCUGAGAGGAUGAUCAGCCACAUUGGGACUGAGACACGGCCCAAACUCCUACGGGAGGCAGCAGUGGGGAUAUUGGACAAUGGGGGAAACCCUGAUCCAGCAAUGCCGCGUGUGUGAAGAAGGUCUUCGGAUUGUAAAGCACUUUUGGCAGGGACGAUGAUGACGGUACCUGCAGAAUAAGCCCCGGCUAACUUCGUGCCAGCAGCCGCGGUAAUACGAAGGGGGCUAGCGUUGCUCGGAAUGACUGGGCGUAAAGGGCGCGUAGGCGGCAUGUACAGUCAGAAGUGAAAUUCCUGGGCUCAACCUGGGGACUGCUUUUGAUACGUACAAGCUUGAGUGAGGAAGAGGGUUGUGGAAUUUCCAGUGUAGAGGUGAAAUUCGUAGAUAUUGGAAAGAACACCGGUGGCGAAGGCGGCAACCUGGUCCUUUACUGACGCUGAGGCGCGAAAGCGUGGGGAGCAAACAGGAUUAGAUACCCUGGUAGUCCACGCUGUAAACGAUGUGUGCUGGAUGUUGGGAAACUUAGUUUUUCAGUGUCGUAGCUAACGCGAUAAGCACACCGCCUGGGGAGUACGGCCGCAAGGUUGAAACUCAAGGGAAUUGACGGGGGCCCGCACAAGCGGUGGAGCAUGUGGUUUAAU
rnacentral:rRNA from 1 species